rnacentral:misc_RNA from 1 species
AACGCAAAUUGCGCUCUCGGGAUAGGCCUGAGAGCACGCCUCUUUGAGUAUCGAUUCCACCACCUCCAGAACAAACUUUGUUUUGACACUGGGAAUUUGAGUGUUUCAUAUCUUCGGAUGUGUCACCUGAAGCGGAAUGGAAUUGAGGGUCUGCGAAACUGCUGUUGAAUAUUCAUUGGCUGAAGUGGUUUUGAACAUGGAUAAAUUUCCAAUGAUCAAUAAACUUUGGCUAUUUGCUAUCAGCGAAUCUAAGUUUUGCAAAACAGAAAGCCCUCUCCUAACUAAUAUCUUAACUAUCUAAGAAUUAGAUCUCAAAUGAAGCGAGACAACCCGCUGAACUUAA